GAGAAACCUGCCGCCGCUCGCCGCCUCUUUGUCUGCUCUGGGACUUGGAACAAAAGGGGGAACUCUGAUGAACUCUCUCUCCGCCCCUCUCCCCCGGACGCGCGGGUAUCUCCCUCUCGCAACUUUGCCGCCGCGACUUUCUCCGCUGUCAGGCCACACAAAAGUGUCCGAACGCCUCGAGGACCGCGACAAGGGAAGUGUCUCUUCAAAGUGCGACCAAGUGGGGAAGAAGGUGUGAUUACUGUGGUCAGCAUCUAGAAAACAGAAGCACUCCCGCCUCCUCUGUGCUACAUCCUUCUUACUGGAUCUUUCUAUCAGUGAACAUUGUGGAAGUACCAUUACUACAUCGUCAUUCCUGAAGGAAAAGUUGCCAAACUUUUUUCUUUGGAGUUGCUUCGAAGUUGUUGGGAUUUUUGAUGAUGCCUCCCCUAUGUGGAUUACUACUGUUUGAACACUGGGAAUUCUCCAUCUUAAAGAAGAUGCUUUUGCUAUCUGGAAACUUAUGCCCACGUCUGUGACUGCGGGUCAGAAUUGCUUUCCUCACAUUCUGAUUGGGAGAGUUGUUAAACAUUGGAAUGUCCUUCUGAGCUGGGCUGUGGAAUGUCAUCGCUCCCAAGUGACUACAGAAGCCUCGACACCCAGCGUGAUCAGUGAGUAAAUUUCCAAGCCAUCAAGAAGAAAUACGGUUGUCUCUCCAGCGUUCCAACAGGACCAUUCCAACAUCACUUGAACGUAAGCUCAAUGAAAACUGGCCUUUUCCUAUGUUUGGUUCACUGCUGGGACCCGGCACAUAGGGAAGAACCUCUUCAAUAACAAUACUCAGUGGAUUUUCCUUAAAUUACUGAGACUGUGGAAGGCUGGUUGUGUUGGAGGUACUCUGCAAGGCAUUGGAAAUAUUGGGAAAGUAAAUCCAGGGUCCACAACCUCAUCAUCUACCAGGUAGGAAGAAAAAUAAACAGAAAAUCACAGUUUGUAACCUGUGCUCCGAGAGAGGAGCUGGGGAAGGCUUCAUGGAGGUGGUGAUGAUAAUUACAUUCCACGUAGUGUGUAUAAGAGUCGGGGCCCAGUGGGCAUGCUCAGCAUCCUGUGUAGGUAAUCAAGGGGUUCAUUGUCUGUAGAGAAUUUUAAAUAAUAAAACU
rnacentral:lncRNA from 1 species